GCAAGUCGAGCGGUAGAAAAUAUUAGCUUGCUAAUGUUUUUUAGAGCGGCGAAAGGGUGAGUAACACGUUGGUAUCUGCCCCCAAGUGAGGAUAGCAAUUGGAAACGAUGAUUAAUACCGGAUAGUCUCUUCGGAGUAAAGAUUUAUUGCUUGGGGAGGAACCUGCGUUCUAUCAGCUAGUUGGUGAGGUAAAAGCUCACCAAGGCUAUGACGGAUACCUGGUCUGAGAGGAUGAUC
rnacentral:rRNA from 1 species